UGGCCGCGGGAUUCUUGGUCAUUUAGAGGAAGUAAAAGUCGUAACAAGGGCUCCGUUGGUGAACCAGCGGAGGGAUCAUUACCGAGUUUACAACUCCCAAACCCCUGUGAACAUACCUUAAUGUUGCCUCGGCGGAUCAGCCCGCGCCCCGUAAAACGGGACGGCCCGCCAGAGGACCCAAACUCUAAUGUUUCUUAUUGUAACUUCUGAGUAAAACAAACAAAUAAAUCAAAACUUUCAACAACGGAUCUCUUGGUUCUGGCAUCGAUGAAGAACGCAGCGAAACGCGAUAUUUCUUGUGAAUUGCAGAAGUGAAUCAUCAGUUUUUGAACGCACAUUGCACUUUGGGGUAUCCCCCAAAGUAUACUUGUUUGAGCGUUGUUUCUCUCUUGGAAUUGCUUUGCUCUUCUAAAAUUUCGAAUCAAAUUCGUUUGAAAAACAACACUAUUCAACCUCAGAUCAAGUAGGAUUACCCGCUGAACUUAAGCAUAUCAAUAAGCGGAGGAAAAGAAACCAACAGGGAUUGCCCCAGUAACGGCG
rnacentral:rRNA from 1 species